rnacentral:misc_RNA from 1 species
CUACUCGCAAACAAACAUCCAAUGAGCAGAUGUACAAAAAAUCAGAUUUUUUUUUUUUUUUU